rnacentral:tRNA from 1 species
AAUAAAGUGCCUGAUAAAAGGAUUACUUUGAUAGAGUAACUCAUGUAAGAUUAGCUUACCUUUAUUA